UACCAGCUACUCAGUCAUAAUGCCACACAAAUUCCACUUGUAUGUUUUUUUCCGUCCUUUUAAUGAAUAUUCUGCCAGAUUCUGUCAAUCGGUAACACAAUAGCACCCAUUUACAGUAGUUAAUUAAUCUGCCAAUUUGACCAGUUUCUGUUUUCCUGCCACGUGGUUAGCCACUCCGCAUUGUCACCCAUUUGCCACCUUGUCACCGCCUCCCUCAGCCCAAGUCACCUUGAACCAUCACGAGGCAAAUUUUUAUUUAGAUUGAAGUUAUCAGUAAACUUGGAAAAGUUGCACGUGCUGGAGCAAAGGGGUAACACGUUUUCCUGCAGACUCAUAGCUCGGAGACCUUGGUUUGUCCUAAACUUAGAGUGUGGCUACGAGACCAGAGGUUUUUACCUAUUACCAAGUGAUUUUUCCACAUGUUUCAAUUUCCUGAUGUUGGUAAUUGUUGAUAACAAUUUGACCCUUCACUUACUGGAUGACAGCAAAACUGGAGCCUGUUAGCUGAGUUUAGAUCCCACAAUGCCAUGACUUGAACUCAGGACUCUGGAUGAUUGGCCUGCUAAGAAACACAUGCAAUGUCAACAUUACUUCUGGAGGAAGCACGACUUGUAAAACGGGAUGGAUGCACUUGGACCCGAGGAGGGAACAACACUUUCGCCAUCAGUGUUAACAGGUGGAAGAAUAUGAUCCUCCACGGCCAACAACCCUACGAUCAGACCAGACUCGAUGUCCUCAAGGAAGCGUCGAACGCUUGGGAUUAAAGUUGGAGACCUCUUCACAGAAACAGGAUGGUUCCCAAUGGCAAUACAGGACCAGGUGCUUAACACAAAGGUAUCAAAAAUACGUAAUAAAUGACGGGCAAAUUCAAGAUGAAAAAUGUAGAGAAUACCAAGAGAAAUCUGAAAAAAUCCAACACAUUACAUGAUUCUGCAGCAGUCGAACUUAACCGAUUGUUUACACAGGCAUA